GAUGAACGCUGGCGGCGUGCCUAAUACAUGCAAGUCGAGCGAACAGACGAGGAGCUUGCUCCUCUGACGUUAGCGGCGGACGGGUGAGUAACACGUGGAUAACCUACCUAUAAGACUGGGAUAACUUCGGGAAACCGGAGCUAAUACCGGAUAAUAUAUUGAACCGCAUGGUUCAAUAGUGAAAGACGGUUUUGCUGUCACUUAUAGAUGGAACCGCGCCGCAUUAGCUAGUUGGUAAGGUAACGGCUUACCAAGGCAACGAUGCGUAGCCGACCUGAGAGGGGGAUCGGCCACACUGGAACUGAGACACGGUCCAGACUCCUACGGGAGGCAGCAGUAGGGAAUCUUCCGCAAAGGGCGAAAGCCUGACGGAGCAACGCCGCGUGAGUGAUGAAGGUCUUCGGAUCGUAAAACUCUGUUAUUAGGGAAGAACAAAUGUGUAAGUAACUAUGCACGUCUUGACGGUACCUAAUCAGAAAGCCACGGCUAACUACGUG
rnacentral:rRNA from 1 species